rnacentral:rRNA from 1 species
AUACGUAGGGAGCGAGCGUUGUCCGGAAUUAUUGGGCGUAAAGGGCGCGUAGGCGGUCUAUCAAGUCAAAUGUGAAAUACACUGGCUUAACCAGUGGACGGCGUUUGAAACUGGUGGACUUGAGUACAGGAGAGGAGAGUGGAAUUUCUGGUGUAGCGGUGAAAUGCGUAGAUAUCAGGAAGAACACCGGUGGCGAAGGCGGCUCUCUGGCCUGUAACUGACGCUGAGGUGCGAAAGCGUGGGGAGCAAACGGGAUUAGAUACCCCGGUAGUCCACGCCGUAAACGCUGGAUACUAGGUGUAGGGGGUUAGACUCCCUCUGUGCCGGAGUUAACGCAUUAAGUAUCCCGCCUGGGGAGUACGGUCGCAAGAUUGAA